CAGGGGUUAGCUCAGUCCGGUUAGAGUGCCGCACUUGGACUGCGGAGGCCGAAGGUUCAAAUCCUUCAUCCCUGACCA
rnacentral:tRNA from 1 species